GCUGCUCUGGCUGAAGGGGGGGGGGGGGGGCUGGGAUACAGCCAAACCACGAGGUUGGAGGGCCUGCUAACCACAGGCCCCGGGGAGCCUCGCAGGCCUGGGGCAGCCGCUCCAGGCCACAGCCAUGGUGUCCUGUCCAAGACAAGCUGGGCACCUGACAACAUCCGGCAUCCAACCAUCCUUAGGAGGACUCAGGUCCCCGAACGCCCAGGCCAGGUCUGGGUCCGGGCAGCUCCUGGCUCACUGUCCUCAGAGCUGGUGCCACCAAAGCCCUCACCACAGGAGCAGUCCUUCAAACAUCAGGGGUGGAUGCUACAGGAACUGUGGACAGGACCAGACGAGGAGGCCUGACACGCACAGCCCCACCCAGGCGGCGGUGCAGCCAGCUGAAGCUCACUGCCUUCCUUUCUUAACACUUCUGGGGGCUGGCGCCAUGGUACAGUACGUUAAUCCUCCGCCUGCGGCACCGGCAUCCCAUGUGGGCACCGGUUCGAGUCCCAGCUGCUCCUCUUCCAAUCUAGCUCUCUGCUGUGGUCUGGGAAAGCAUUAGAAGAUGGCCCAAGUUGGCCCCUGCACCUGCAUGGAGAGACCAGGAAGAAGCACCUGGUUCCUGGCUUCGGAUCGGCACAUCUCUGGCCGUUGCAGCCAUUUGGAGAGUGAACCAACAGGCAGAAGACCUUUCUCUCUGUCUCUCCCUCUCACUGUCUGUAACUCUACCUGUCAAAUAAAUAAAUAAAAAUCUUUAAAAAAAAUUAAAAAAGCACUUCUGUGCACCACAGCUGGGUAAUUUAACCUCUUUAGGGGCAUUUAAGAAACGAUUUUGUCUGUCUUCUAAAUUAGUUUACUUUUCCAAGUCAUUGUCAUUCAUUG